AGCGAGUCAAACGGACUUUCGGAGAAUCUGAGUACUGCACAUGCGCAUCAUCUUGUUUUGUAACGGUCGACUUCCAGCACACGGAUACGGAGUAAAAGCAGCUGGAGGAGAGACAGCCUGUGCAGCAACAACAAGACAACAAUGAUUAUAAGCAGGGAUAAUCUCCAGGUGGACUGCAUGGGUCCAGGAUCAAGAGAUCAUUCAUCAUGCAGACCAUGUUCCAGGAGAAGCAGCGUAUCCUGGGUCUGCUUGAUCAUUUUGUUGUCCUGGAUGUGAGAACAUGGUCAAAAGGUGUGUCAAUCAGCAUCCAGCCAUAAAAGCCGCCUUCUCGUUAAAAGGCUCAGGAGGACAAACAGGUAAUUCACAGGGUUGAAUUUCACAAUUCAAUUACUCACAGAG